CUAUCCUAUACUGAGUAAAUCUUUCAAGGUGGAGAGUCUACUGUCAUGCAGUUUUCUUCGGUUUGAACAAAUCAUGUGUUAUUUGACCUUGAUAUAACUACUGUAGCUGUAAAACUUAGGCUGAAUCACUAACAAAGUGUAAAUCAUUUAAAACAUAUUUCAGCAGACACUUGUUAACUCUCUGGGAAGGAAGGCCACACCACAACCAAUCUCGAAUACGACCUCAGAUCAGACGAGACAACCCGCUGAACUUAAGCAUAUCAGUAAGCGGAGGAAAAGAAACGCUGGAAAUAACUGGUCCGAAAUGUUUAUAUUUUUAAUUAAAUUUAAUUCGAUUUCAUAAAUCGGACAGAAUUUUAUUAAAGUUAUGAUGUUCCAGUGUUUUUGAUAUUGCUGUUGUAUGUGAAAGAUGGAUACAGGAAGUCCACUAAUGCUGUGUGUACUAAAGCUGUUACAAUGUUGUGGCAAUGUUACAAAGACUGAAGUUCAAUGGCCACAGUUUAGACCUUUCACAUUGCUUUGGGAAAUAUCGACAUUUUUGGGUUAGUUUGAAGGCAACUGUUUGCUUGUUGUUGAAGUGAAUGUGUUUAAAUAAAUCUAGUUUACAUUACAAACUGAAGCCCCACUCACCAAGUGUGCCUCAGAAGAAAGUAGGAUUAUUAUUUUUUUUCAGCUUUACUGAUCGAUAUCCAUGUGAUCAAUAGCUUUAUUCUCCAUGUUUGCUAAAGGCAAAGACCACUUUAUCAAAUCCCAAUGGGAGCGUCUGGAUCAGCUGCUAAACCACCACAGGAAGACAGAUGAUACGAGACUAAAACACUACUUUGUCCACCUUUCAACUACAAAAUACUCCCAAGAAAACACAGAUUGUUUUUUGUCUCGGACUCAAACUCACGACCACGGGGCAUGCACUUUACCAAUAGACGAGGUUGUGUAAACAAACAUAAAAAAAAAGGAAAAAAAAACUUGAAUACAAACUGAAAAGAAGAACCCGAGAUUCCCGAACCUUCCCCGUACGGCAAUAGAUUAUCAUCAUGUCCAAUGCCAAUUUUAGGGAAAUCAGAAGAUGAAUAUCCUGACCAAUAUAUUUACGAUUUCAUAAAUCGGACAGAAUUUUAUUAAAGUUAGUCUUUAACCAAGGGCACCAAGAAACUAACCAGGAUUCCCCCUAGUAGCG
ensembl:lncRNA